AUACAUUACUCUUGGUAUUGGGGGGGAAACGUUUCGGAACGGACGCUAAUACCGCAUACGUCCUACGGGAGAAAGCCUGGGACCUUCGGGCCUUGCGCUAUCAGAUGAGCCUAGGUCGGAUUAGCUAGUUGGUGAGGUAAUGGCUCACCAAGGCUACGAUCCGUAACUGGUCUGAGAGGAUGAUCAGUCACACUGGAACUGAGACACGGUCCAGACUCCUACGGGAGGCAGCAGUGGGGAAUAUUGGACAAUGGGCGAAAGCCUGAUCCAGCCAUGCCGCGUGUGUGAAGAAGGUCUUCGGAUUGUAAAGCACUUUAAGUUGGGAGGAAGGGCAUUAACCUAAUACGUUAGUGUUUUGACGUUACCGACAGAAUAAGCACCGGCUAACUCUGUGCCAGCAGCCGCGGUAAUACAGAGGGUGCAAGCGUUAAUCGGAAUUACUGGGCGUAAAGCGCGCGUAGGUGGUUUGUUAAGUUGAAUGUGAAAUCCCCGGGCUCAACCUGGGAACUGCAUCCAAAACUGGCAAGCUAGAGUAUGGUAGAGGGUAGUGGAAUUUUCCUGUGUAGCGGUGAAAUGCGUAGAUAUAGGAAGGAACACCAGUGGCGAAGGCGACUACCUGGACUGAUACUGACACUGAGGUGCGAAAAGCGUGGGGGAGCAAACAGGAUUUAGAUACCCCUGGUAGUCCACGCCCGUUAAACGAAUGUCAACUAGCCUGUUGGGUAGUCUUUGAAACUCUUUAGUUGGCGCAACCUAACGCAUUUAAGUUGGACCGCCCUGGGGGAAGUAACGGCCGCAAGGUUAAAACUCAAAUGGAAUUUGACCGGGGGGCCCGCAACAAGCCGGUGGGAGCAUGUGGUUUAUAUUCGAAGCAAACGCGAAUGAACUUUACUCAUGGCCUUGAACAUCCAAUGAACCUUUCCAUGAAAGCAUUAAUUUGGUGGCCCUUC
rnacentral:rRNA from 1 species